UAGGCCUUAGCUUAAUUAAAGUGUUUGGGUUGCAUUCAGAAGAUGUAUAUUAAAAUUAUACAGGUCUUA
rnacentral:tRNA from 2 species